GUCUAAUUGAUCUUUUGUAGAUUUGUAAGGUUUCAUCUCAUAUAUAACAACAUAAAGUACUCAAAGUUAUUUUUAAUGAAAUAAUAAGGGCACUUGAUUAUAUAAAAUAAAAUAAUGUCUUACCACAUCCACAGGAACACCCAGAACAAAUUAAGUCCUUCGGCUGCAACAAGCAGUCUACUGUGGCUGAAUGUCUCAGAUGUGAUUUUCUACUGCCUUUUUGUUAAAAGCCUUGGCUUUGAUCCUUCUUAUAGGGAUGGUUUUGUUGUAGACGUCAGAAUGCUGGAGCAGAAGGUGGAUAGGGUUUCAGUAGCAACACCUAAACAUAGUAUGGACUGAGUGACAAGGGAUUCUUACAGCAGUCUUCCAGGACCUAACAGAAAGAAUACAGCACUGUCCUGUUCUGCUCACAGACAGCAAUACACAAUGUUGUCACUAUACUUAGGCAUAUACACUACUAGUUCAAGUGUAAAAUGUACGCAAAGUGUAGGUGUGUGAGCGUACAAAUAUAAUUAUUUUGUAGUAUCAGUGCUCAAGCAUUGUAAAAUUGUAUCUCAACAUUUCAUGCAAAAGAACAUUUAAAUACUAAUAUUCUUCUCUCUUUUAUAUAUGUUGCAUUGCUCUAGUGCCUAUGGGUAUGCCUAUGGGCAAAUAAUACAUAGAUAUUAAAAAAAUGCUCUUCUAAAGAAGGUAAUUAGAUAAGAAGUCUUUCAUAAGUUUGCAAAUUGCUUCUGCUGGCUGCGGGCCACUCGUGGUACCUUCAGCUAGUAUCGAUGCGUGUGGCGGCUUCUGGGACCCGCACUCCACUUGCGGCGACUUGUCUGUGCCACACACCGCUCGCAGCCGGUUUCCAUGACCCCGCUCGUGGCUAUAUUCAGUCCUUAUUAUGAUGCUGCAUUUAAUUUCGAAAUAUGUGCAUCUUGCAGCCGCUUUGUAGAUAACUCCCUAAUUCCCACGGUAUUAGGGGGUUAACUACCAAAAGAAUGAAAGACCUAAAUUGGUCAUUCAGCCAAAUUUACUAAUACUAAGUAAAGUGGCUGCUCACUGUUGAAAAAAA